CCAUCAACUGAUGGUUCAUAAGAUGCACCUUCAAUCUGUUUCAGAAAACUGGUUGAUCGUUGGUUGAGCUAAUCUUUCAUGUUAGAGAAACUCAGGACUCACUUGGGAGCAAUUUACCAAUUCAGGACAAAUUUAGAGAAAAAUAUAAUAUAAAUAAAUUUAAAUAUGAUUGACAUUAUGACAACUUCAAGACUUGUGCAUGUUAAAACUUACACAAUGAACUUAUGCUAUUUUGGAAGUUGACAAU